UGGGAACGUACCCUUCGGUUCGGAAUAACCCGGGGAAACUCGGGCUAAUACCGGAUACGUCCGCAAGGAGAAAGAUUUAUCGCCGAAGGAUCGGCCCGCGUCGGAUUAGCUAGUUGGUGGGGUAAUGGCCCACCAAGGCGACGAUCGUUAGCUGGUCUGAGAGGAUGACCAGCCGCACUGGAACUGAGACACGGUCCAGACUCCUACGGGAGGCAG
rnacentral:rRNA from 1 species